GAAGAUAUAGCAUAAAUAGUAAAACGUUUGUUUAGCAUGCAAGAGAUCACAGGUUCAAUCCCUCAUGUCUCCA